AACCUGGGACCCUUGAGUCCACAGGCUGACGCUCUAUCCACUGAGCCAAACCGGUCAGGGCAUGAUUGCUUGCUUGUUUUAAUGACGUUUGCUUAUUUUUUGCCUGAAUUGCAGGCAAUCUCAUCCCUUCUGCACUGACUUGACGUAACCCUUCUCUCAGAAUCAAAGCCUUCCCAAGAAGUGCGCAGUCACUUGCGUCGGGGGAGGGGCCCUGUCCAGCUGCCUGAGAUCCCAGAUCAGGCAGAAGAACCUUGAGAAAUUUUGUUCCUUUCCCACAAUAGCAAAGGAGACAAUCAAUAAAAUGAAAAUGCAACCUACAAGAAAAGGAAAGAAGAUUUGCAAACCGUAUAGUUGUAAGAGCUGUCAGUGAACUCUGGGGCAGGAAUCAACCCACCACCCAAGACACAGAACAGGUGCCAGGGUCUCAGAUUCCCCAUUUCUAGAAGAGACAGACCCCCUGUUCUUCACGAAGAUGGUGAGGGUUGAGUGCUAACUCCUUAAUUCUCUCAAAACUGGCUUGAAAUUCUUAGGGGGAAAGUCUGGGUAAGGAAAACCCAGCAAGGUUUUGACUCAGAGGUCAGUUGGCCUUAUAGAAGCCCCCAGUGUGGGUCCCCUCAAAGCUGGAAAGGAAGCAGAUUUCAAAGAAAUAGGUCCCUCUGACCAUUGCUCCCUAAAACCAAAAUCUUGUAAAUAUGUUAAUGCUUUGGGUUAGGUCCUUUUGGCUGUUUCUUUAAAAGAGGGUACUGGCAGUUCCUCAUAUUAUCACGAUGGAAAUCAAAUCAUGUGCUUCAGUGUUUGGACAUCGGGGCACCUUCUAUUGCUGGCUCAGUGGUUUAGAGGCGGUUGUCACGUGCCCAAGCC